AGAGUUCGAUCCUGGCUCAGGAUGAACGCUGGCGGCGCGCCUAACACAUGCAAGUCGAACGGUUAAAGCCCCUUCGGGGGUGCAUAGAGUGGCGAACGGCUGAGUAACACGUGGGCAACCUGCCCCCCGCACCGGGACAGCCUCGGGAAACCGUGGUUAAUACCGGAUACUCCGCCACCCCCGCAUGGGGGCGGCGGGAAAGCCCAGGCGGAGGGGGAUGGGCCCGCGGCCUGUUAGCUCGUUGGCGGGGUAACGGCCCACCAAGGCGAUGAUGGGUAGCCGGGUUGAGAGACCGACCGGCCAGAUUGGGACUGAGACACGGCCCAGACUCCUACGGGAGGCAGCAGUGGGGAAUCUUGCACAAUGGGCGAAAGCCUGAUGCAGCGACGCCGCGUGCGGGACGAAGGCCUUCGGGUCGUAAACCGCUUUCAGCAGGGACGAGGCCGCGAGGUGACGGUACCUGCAGAAGAAGCCCCGGCUAACUACGUGCCAGCAGCCGCGGUAAUACGUAGGGGGCGAGCGUUAUCCGGAUUCAUUGGGCGUAAAGCGCGCGCAGGCGGCCUGCUCGGUCGGGAGUCAAAUCCGGGGGCUCAACCCCCGCCCGCUCCCGAUACCGGCGGGCUUGAGUCUGGUAGGGGAAGGCGGAAUUCCCAGUGUAGCGGUGGAAUGCGCAGAUAUUGGGAAGAACACCGGUGGCGAAGGCGGCCUUCUGGGCCACGACUGACGCUGAGGCGCGAAAGCUAGGGGAGCGAACAGGAUUAGAUACCCUGGUAGUCCUAGCCGUAAACGAUGGACACUAGGUGUGGGGGGAGGAUCCCUCCGUGCCGCAGCCAACGCAUUAAGUGUCCCGCCUGGGGAGUACGGCCGCAAGGCUAAAACUCAAAGGAAUUGACGGGGGCCC
rnacentral:rRNA from 1 species